GAGUUUGAUCUUGGCUCAGAUUGAACGCUGGCGGCAGGCCUAACACAUGCAAGUCGAGCGGAUGACGGGAGCUUGCUCCUUGAUUCAGCGGCGGACGGGUGAGUAAUGCCUAGGAAUCUGCCUGGUAGUGGGGGGCAACGUUUCGAAAGGAACGCUAAUACCGCAUACGUCCUACGGGAGAAAGCAGGGGACCUUCGGGCCUUGCGCUAUCAGAUGAGCCUAGGUCGGAUUAGCUAGUUGGUGGGGUAAUGGCUCACCAAGGCGACGAUCCGUAACUGGUCUGAGAGGAUGAUCAGUCACACUGGAACUGAGACACGGUCCAGACUCCUACGGGAGGCAGCAGUGGGGAAUAUUGGACAAUGGGCGAAAGCCUGAUCCAGCCAUGCCGCGUGUGUGAAGAAGGUCUUCGGAUUGUAAAGCACUUUAAGUUAGGGAGGAAGGGCAGUAAGUUAAUACCUUGCUGUUUCGACGUUACCGACAGAAAUAAGCACCGGCUAACUACUGUGCCAGCAGCC
rnacentral:rRNA from 1 species